rnacentral:rRNA from 1 species
CGAAUGCUGACAUAAGUAACGAUAAAGCGGGUGAAAAGCCCGCUCGCCGGAAGACCAAGGGUUCCUGUCCAACGUUAAUCGGGGCAGGGUGAGUCGACCCCUAAGGCGAGGCCGAAAGGCGUAGUCGAUGGGAAACAGGUUAAUAUUCCUGUACUUGGUGUUACUGCGAAGGGGGGACGGAGAAGGCUAUGUUGGCCGGGCGACGGUUGUCCCGGUUUAAGCGUGUAGGCUGGUUUUCCAGGCAAAUCCGGAAAAUCAAGGCUGAGGCGUGAUGACGAGGCACUACGGUGCUGAAGCAACAAAUGCCCUGCUUCCAGGAAAAGCCUCUAAGCAUCAGGUAACAUCAAAUCGUACCCCAAACCGACACAGGUGGUCAGGUAGAGAAUACCAAGGCGCUUGAGAGAACUCGGGUGAAGGAACUAGGCAAAAUGGUGCCGUAACUUCGGGAGAAGGCACGCUGAUAUGUAGGUGAAGUCCCUUGCGGAUGGAGCUGAAAUCAGUCGAAGAUACCAGCUGGCUGCAACUGUUUAUUAAAAACACAGCACUGUGCAAACACGAAAGUGGACGUAUACGGUGUGACGCCUGCCCGGUGCCGGAAGGUUAAUUGAUGGGGUUAGCGGUAACGCGAAGCUCUUGAUCGAAGCCCCGGUAAACGGCGGCCGUAACUAUAACGGUCCUAAGGUAGCGAAAUUCCUUGUCGGGUAAGUUCCGACCUGCACGAAUGGCGUAAUGAUGGCCAGGCUGUCUCCACCCGAGACUCAGUGAAAUUGAACUCGCUGUGAAGAUGCAGUGUACCCGCGGCAAGACGGAAAGACCCCGUGAACCUUUACUAUAGCUUGACACUGAACAUUGAGCCUUGAUGUGUAGGAUAGGUGGGAGGCUUUGAAGUGUGGACGCCAGUCUGCAUGGAGCCGACCUUGAAAUACCACCCUUUAAUGUUUGAUGUUCUAACGUUGGCCCCUGAUCGGGGUUGCGGACAGUGUCUGGUGGGUAGUUUGACUGGGGCGGUCUCCUCCUAAAGAGUAACGGAGGAGCACGAAGGUUGGCUAAUCCUGGUCGGACAUCAGGAGGUUAGUGCAAUGGCAUAAGCCAGCUUGACUGCGAGCGUGACGGCGCGAGCAGGUGCGAAAGCAGGUCAUAGUGAUCCGGUGGUUCUGAAUGGAAGGGCCAUCGCUCAACGGAUAAAAGGUACUCCGGGGAUAACAGGCUGAUACCGCCCAAGAGUUCAUAUCGACGGCGGUGUUUGGCACCUCGAUGUCGGCUCAUCACAUCCUGGGGCUGAAGUAGGUCCCAAGGGUAUGGCUGUUCGCCAUUUAAAGUGGUACGCGAGCUGGGUUUAGAACGUCGUGAGACAGUUCGGUCCCUAUCUGCCGUGGGCGCUGGAGAACUGAGGGGGGCUGCUCCUAGUACGAGAGGACCGGAGUGGACGCAUCACUGGUGUUCGGGUUGUCAUGCCAAUGGCACUGCCCGGUAGCUAAAUGCGGAAGAGAUAAGUGCUGAAAGCAUCUAAGCACGAAACUUGCCCCGAGAUGAGUUCUCCCUGACUCCUUGAGAGUCCUGAAGGAACGUUGAAGACGACGACGUUGAUAGGCCGGGUGUGUAAGCGCAGCGAUGCGUUGAGCUAACCGGUACUAAUGAACCGUGAGGCUUAACCU